rnacentral:lncRNA from 1 species
GAUAAGGUGCAAGGGAACCAAUAAUAAUGGAAGCAAAAAGGUUGAAUUCUGAAGCAAAUAAAGGACAAGUGUGGCGGACAACAUUCAUGAUAAGUCGUUAGCCUGGUGAUAAGCUAUCAAGGCCACCGUCAGACUUAACCAGAGAAUGGGAGUUGAAGAGAAGUUGUAAUGACAUUUUGUGACAAGGCAUCAAGAGUUGUGAUAAGGCAUCAGGAUCAUUGUCAGCCUUAGGCAGAAAUUAUAAAAAGGAAAGAGGA